rnacentral:rRNA from 2 species
UGACCCGAAAGAUGGUGAACUAUGCCCGAACAGGGUGAAGCCAGGGGAAACCCUGGUGGAAGCCCGAAGCGAUUCUGACGUGCAAAUCGAUCGUCUGAUUUGGGUAUAGGGGCGAAAGACUAAUCGAACCAUCUAGUAGCUGGUUCCCUCCGAAGUUUCCCUCAGGAUAGCUGGAACCCGCCUGUGCAGUUUUAUCAGGUAAAGCGAAUGAUUAGAGGUCUUGGGGUUGAAACAACCUCAACCUAUUCUCAAACUUUAAAUAGGUAAGACGUCCGACUUGCUUGAGUGAAGCCGGACCUCGAAUGCAGGGUUCCUAGUGGGCCAUUUUUGGUAAGCAGAACUGGCGAUGCGGGAUGAACCGAAAGCGGGGUUAAGGUGCCAAAGUCGACGCUCAUCAGACCCCACAAAAGGUGUUGGUUGAUCCAGACAGCAGGACGGUGGCCAUAAAAGUCGGAACCCGCUAAGGAGUGUGUAACAACUCACCUGCCGAAUCAACCAGCCCUGAAAAUGGAUGGCGCUCAAGCGUCGCACCCACACCCCGCCGUCGGGCCGAGCUGGCUGGCCCGACGUGUAGGAGGGCGCAGCGGUGGUGUUGCAGCCUAAGGCGCGAGCCUGGGUCAAACCGCCGUU